GACGAACGCUGGCGGCGUGCUUAACACAUGCAAGUCGAACGGAAAGGCCCUGCUUUUGUGGGGUGCUCGAGUGGCGAACGGGUGAGUAACACGUGAGUAACCUGCCCUUGACUUUGGGAUAACUUCAGGAAACUGGGGCUAAUACCGGAUAUGAGCUCCUGCUGCAUGGUGGGGGUUGGAAAGUUUCGGCGGGUGGGGAUGGACUCGCGGCUUAUCAGCUUGUUGGUGGGGUAGUGGUUUACCAAGGCUUUGACGGGUAGCCGGCCUGAGAGGGUGACCGGCCACAAGGGGACUGAGAGAGGGACCAGACUCCUACGGGAGGCAAAAGUGGGGAAUAUUGCACAAUGGGGGGAAGCCUGAUGAAGCAACGCCGCGGGCGGGAUGACGGCCUUCGGGUUGUAAACCGCUUUCGCCUGUGACGAAGCGUGAGUGACGGUAAUGGGUAAAGAAGCACCGGCUAACUACGUG
rnacentral:rRNA from 1 species